rnacentral:rRNA from 1 species
GGAAGUAAAAGUCGUAACAAGGUUUCCGUAGGUGAACCUGCGGAAGGAUCAUUACUGAUUUAGCGAACCGAGCGUUAGCGAGGUUUUGCGAUCACUUAUAUUUAAAACCCCACUCUUUAAUGUAUAAAAUUUGUAUUAAUGAUAAAUUAAAAGAUCACUUUCAACAACGGAUCUCUUGGCUCUCGCAUCGAUGAAGAACGUAGCGAAGUGCGAUAAGUAAUGUGAAUUGCAGUAUUCCGUGAAUCAUCGAAUCUUUGAACGCAUAUUGCACUUUCUGGUAUUCCGGAAAGUAUGCCUGUUUGAGGGUCAGUUAAAUAAAAAUCGGUGUUGUUGCUGCCUUUCGUGGUGACGCGUCGGAAUUGAGUCGUCUUACCUUCGGUUAAGUGACUUAAAAUUUUGUAUGAUUUUUGAACGUAUUUAAAUUUAUUUGUACGUUUGAGAUAUCGAAUGUUUAUUAGGUUCGGUCAUUCUAAUGACUCGCGCCUAUAGUUUUUCAUUAAAUGACCUCAAAUCAGGUAAGAAUACCCGCUGAACUUAAGCAUAUCAAUAAGCGGAGGA